rnacentral:rRNA from 1 species
UACGGAGGGUGCGAGCGUUGUCCGGAAUCACUGGGCGUAAAGGGCGCGUAGGCGGUGCCAUAAGCGUGCGGUGAAAGCCUGGGCUCAACCCCGGGUCGGCCGUGCGAACUGUGGGACUCGAGCACUGUAGGGCAGGCGGAAUUCCGGGUGUAGCGGUGGAAUGCGUAGAGAUCCGGAAGAACACCGGUGGCGAAGGCGGCCUGCUGGGCAGUGGCUGACGCUGAGGCGCGAAGCGUGGGGAGCGAACAGG